AGGAUGGGAUGGUGUGGGAGGGAAUGGUUCAGGAUGAUUCAAGUGCAUUACAUUUAUUGUGCACUUUGUUUCUAUUAUUAUUACAUUGUGAUAUGUCAUGAAGUUAUUAUACAACUCACCAUCAUGCAGAAUCAGUGGG